AAGCGAAACCGCCCCGGCCUGGCCGGAGCGGUCUGCCCAGCGUGGUGGCUGGGUACUGACGAGCAGACGAGG
rnacentral:hammerhead_ribozyme from 1 species